UCAAGUUAAAUAAGAAAUGUAUGGAAUGAGUACUCAAAAGGAUUCUUUUCUUUUUGUCUAAAAUACAAUAUUGUGAACUGGGAUAGCUUAAUAAUUUAUGAGAUUGAAAACCAAAUAAAUAGUCAAGGUGAACAAAUAAUAUAUUUAACAGUACAUAUUACUGUGUAAAUUAAUAUUCUACAAGUGUGCAAAGUUCAAAUCAAUUGAAAAAUGGACUGGCUUGGUUGAAUACAUUGAUUAUGUUAUUGACAACUAUGGAUAGGUAUCAACUACAUGUAAGUGGAAAUAUUUUAUAUGUAUAUAUAUAUAUGAUAUAUAUAAAAUAUAUUUCUGCUGAAGUAAAUUGAUUAUAAAUAAUAAUAAUAGUGUAAUACAGUUACUUAUCAAUUUCUUAUGAUUAAUAGCUAUACCUUUAAAUCAUAAUGUUUUUGUCAUAAGAUUGACAUUGAUGUUCUUAAAG